UUUCCUGUGGCUCAGGCAGUAGAGCACUGCGCUAGCUACACAAAGGUCACAGGUUCAAACCCCAGGGGAA